UAAAUUCAAGGAAUUAAGAGUUUAUGGGGGAUACCUUGGCAUUCAGAAGCGAUGAAGGACGCGGUUACCGGCGAAACGCUUCGGGGAGUUGGAAACAAACUAUGAUCCGGAGGUCUCCGAAUGAGGAAACUUUUUAUACUACUUAUUGAAUUCAUAGAUAAGCAAGAGCGAACCUAGGGAACUGAAACAUCUUAGUACCUAGAGGAAAAGAAAGUAAAAAACGAUUCCCUUAGUAGCGGCGAGCGAAACGGGAGAAGCCUAAACUUAGUUCUUUACUAAGGGUAGUGGGACAAUUGUGAAUCGAUUAGGACAAUUAGACGAAUAAGUUGGAAUCCUUAACCAAAGAGAGUGAUAGUCUCGUAGUCGAAAAUUGAAAUAAUCAAAUUGAAUCCCAAGUAGCAUGGAGCACGUGAAAUUCCGUGUGAAUCUGCGAGGACCACCUCGUAAGGCUAAAUAUUCCUGAAUGACCGAUAGUGAAACAGUACCGUGAGGGAAAGGUGAAAAGAACCCCGGGAGGGGAGUGAAAAGAACAUGAAACCAUAAACUUACAAUCAGUAGGAGGACGACUAAAUCGUCUGACUGCGUGCCUGUUGAAGAAUGAGCCGGCGACUUAUAAGUAGUGGCAGGUUAAAGCAGAGAAUGCUGAAGCCAUAGUGAAAGCGAGCCUGAAUAGGGCAUAUGUCACUGGUUAUAGACCCGAACCCGGAUGAUCUAACCAUGGUCAGGUUGAAGCUUAGGUAAUACUAAGUGGAGGACCGAACCGACUGAUGUUGAAAAAUCAGCGGAUGAACUGUGGUUAGGGGUGAAAUGCCAAUCGAAUUCGGAGCUAGCUGGUUCUCCCCGAAAUGCGUUUUGGCGCAGCGAUAAAUGUUAUAACUUAGGGGUAAAGCACUGUUACGUAUGCGGGCUGGUAAUUCGGUACCAAAUCGUUGCAAACUAAGAAUACUAAGUGGAAAGUUUAUCAGUGAGACUGUGGGGGAUAAGCUCCAUUGUCAAGAGGGAAACAGCCCAGAGCACCAGUUAAGGCCCCUAAAUAAUUACUAAGUGAUAAAGGAAGUGGGAGUGCAGAAACAAUCAGGAGGUUUGCUUAGAAGCAGCAAUCCUUUAAAGAGUGCGUAAUAGCUCACUGAUCGAGUAAACCUGCGCCGAAAAUGUACGGGACUAAGUAAUUUGCCGAAACUGUGCGAUAUAUUUGAAAUAUAUCGGUAGGGGAGCGUUCUGUUGUAGGUUGAAGUAUUAGCGGAAGCGGAUAUGGACGAAGCAGAAGUGAGAAUGUCGGCUUGAGUAACGAAAAUAUAGGUGAGAAUCCUAUACCCCGAAAACCCAAGGUUUCCUCCGGAAGGCUCGUCCGCGGAGGGUAAGUCAGGACCUAAGGCGAGGCUGAAAAGCGUAGUCGAUGGACAACGGGUUAAUAUUCCCGUACCAUUAUUUAUUGAUAACGAGGGACGAAGAAGGCUAAGCUGGCCAGAUAUUGGUUACUGGUUUAAGCGUUCAAGGUGUUGAGAGGCGGAGAAAACGUCUUGAGCUGAGACGUGAAUACGAGAUGCUACGGCAUUGAAGCAGUGUAUGUCAGACUUCCAAGAAAAGCUCGCAAUGUCAUUAAAAUAAAUAAUGCCUGUACCAUAACCGACACAGGUGGGUAGGUAGAGUAUACUAAGGGGCGCGAGAUAACUCUCUCUAAGGAACUCGGCAAAAUGACUCCGUAACUUCGGGAGAAGGAGUGCCUUAUUUAUAAGGUUGCAAUAACAAGAUCCAAGCAACUGUUUACCAAAAACACAGGUCUCCGCUAAGUCGUAAGACGAUGUAUGGGGGCUGACGCCUGCCCAGUGCCAGAAGGUUAAAGAAGUUGGUUAGCACUUGCGAAGCUGAUAACUGAAGCCCUGGUGAACGGCGGCCGUAACUAUAACGGUCCUAAGGUAGCGAAAUUCCUUGUCGGGUAAGUUCCGACCCGCACGAAAGGCGUAAUGAUUUGGAUACUGUCUCGGAGAGGGGCUCGGUGAAAUAGACUUGUCUGUGAAGAUGCGGACUACCUGCACCAGGACAGAAAGACCCUAUGAAGCUUUACUGUAACUUGAAAUUGAAAUUGGACUUUAUUUGCGCAGUAUAGGUGGGAGGCGUUGAGUUUAUUCUUGCGGGAAUUUAGGAGCCAUCAGUGAGAUACCACUCUGGUAAUGUUAGAUUUCUAACUUUGUAUCAUAAUCUGGUCAAAGAACAGUUUCAGGCGGGCAGUUUGACUGGGGCGGUCGCCUCCUAAAUGGUAACGGAGGCGUACAAAGGUUUCCUCUGAACGUGUAGAAAUCGUAUCUAGAGUGUAAAGGCAUAAGGAAGCUUGACUGUGAGACUUACAAGUCGAGCAGGGACGAAAGUCGGUCUUAGUGAUCUGACGGUGCUGAGUGGAAAGGCCGUCACUCAACGGAUAAAAGUUACUCUAGGGAUAACAGGCUGAUCUCCCCCAAGAGUUCACAUCGACGGGGAGGUUUGGCACCUCGAUGUCGGCUCAUCGCAUCCUGGGGCGGUAGUACGUCCCAAGGGUUGGGCUGUUCGCCCAUGAAAGCGGUACGCGAGCUGGGUUCAGAACGUCGUGAGACAGUUCGGUCCAUAUCCGGUGUAGGCGUUAGAAUAUUGAGAGGAGCCUUCUUUAGUACGAGAGGACCGAGAAGGACAUACCUCUGGUGUACCAGUUAUCGUGCCAACGGUAAACGCUGGGUAGCUAUGUAUGGAGAGGAUAACCGCUGAAAGCAUCUAAGUGGGAAGCCCACCUCAAGAUAAGUAUUCUCAUCACGGAAGUGAGUAAGGUCACGGUAAGACGAACCGUUUGAUAGGCAUCAAGUAUAAAUGUAGUAAUAUAUGAGCUGAGAUGUCCUAAUAGACCGAGGACUUG
rnacentral:rRNA from 1 species